CGUUAGGUUAUAGUCAGAAAACUGGAGCUCUCAAAAUUUCUUGAUGCAUCUUCUUGGUGGCCUCCACAAUCUCCAAGACCGGCUUCUCUCUCUGAACAAAUACAAAUUCAUUCCUCCCUUUCCAUAUUCCCCAGCAUAAAAGAGCAAUAUACUCCAUCUUCCCUCUUCCGUCACUCCUUGUUGUAGCAGCUUCAAGUCUUCUACUCCACCACUCAGCAAAAUUCGGUUGAACCAGCUCACGAACAUCUAAGUUCAUAGGGGGCAGUACCACGCUGGUGCCGAUUCGGGACAGGACAGGAGGCAGUGCAAGAUGGUUUCCUCAGCAACUUGGCAUCUUGAACAAAUUGGUGAGGGUGAUUGGAAUCUUCAGUGAAUUAGUUCCACAACUGGUAACCUUUUGUGAAUGGCUCGCCAAAUAAAGAAGAGGACUUUUGAAGGUACCUUCACCCCCACAGACUUUUAUUUUUCAUAAUUUGGGGGCACAAAAAAACAGGGAGAUGCCGAAGCCCAUAUGCUAUUUGAUAACCAAAAGAGACCUCAUACGCUUCGCUUUUAGUCACCACUUGAGCUUUGAAUCGAUGUGUUCAAAAUACUAGCAGCAAUACUUGGAGGGAAUGAACUUUCUAUUAAUUGUUGAUUCCAUCUUCUCCCUUCUGAAAACAGGUCCUUUACCCAAUAUAGAUUUCGGUUGUGGUUGUUUGGCAAAUUAAUUGUGAAUGGAUAUAGAGAUUGCAACCAUGGGUCAGUAAAAAUACGUACACUGUCCCCAGAUCCUAUCUUCCACCUCAGUCCCUUUUUUAUUACUGUUCUUCCUUCUCAAUAGACUCUGCCAACCCCAAGAAGAUUGGUUUUUUUUGUCUGCAUUCAUCAAAGAAGAGUAGCGGAAGUACUUGCCUUUCAACUUUGCCAGGAGAGAUUGAGGUCUGUUAACUAUGCGCCAACACUGUUUUCCCAGUAAUGCCAAGUUUUGUGCUCUCAACUCUUUAAAUCCAAGCCAUUUUUCUCUCCUACCACCUUUGACCCAACCAAAAUUGAGUGAGUAUUCUGUGAACAUCAUUCAACAAAGUAUUGGGUUUAAACCAAUAUAGCGUACAAAUCAGAACCGCUUCACCUACAGCUUUAAUCAGUACAUGUCCCCCCCGGUGGAUAGCAAGUUCCUCUUCCAAUAUUGCACCUUCUUUUGGACUUUUGUUUUGAUGUCACUGAAGGUAGUUUUCUUAGAGCGAUGGACCACCGAUGGGAAUGCCAGGUAAUUUCACUUUUUGCCUGCUUAUACUUUCAUAAUUCUUGAGCAAUGAGAGGAUAUUAUGGCAAUGUUCUGGCAAUGCCUUACCAAAGAGAAUUGAGUCAUCUGCAAAUACAGCAAGCGUUGCUUGAUUCUCUAGCAUGGACAACAUUCCACAAAUUUUGUGCUUGUAGAAAGGUUUUUAUUUGAGAAUGUCAGUUCUCAUAAUUGUCUUUAGACAAUAUGGGCACAAAAAUAUUUAUAGUCGAGAUAAUGGUUAUGAAAAAAUUUAUUGGAGUGGGUUAUAAUGUGGUGGAUAUGUAUAAUUGAUAGGUUAAGAAGAAAGAUUUUACACUCAACAGAUGAUUGAAUGUAGUUCUGAUAUCACAGUUAGUUUUAUGAAAUAGUUUUGGUUUAGUGUAUUAUGGACUUAAAUAUUAUAGCAAGGAUAGUUUUAAUGAAUAAGUAGUGCAUGAAUGGUUUGAGAAAAUUGAUAGUUAUAUUAUUGAUGGGUUAAGGAGAGAGUACAAAGGCUAGUGAAAUUUGUGCUUGUUACACUACAAGAAACACCGUUAAAAUCGACGGCCAAAUUGAUGGCUUUGCCGUCGAUAAUACUAAAAAUCAACGGCACAAGUCGUCACUUUUUAACUUGCACCACUCUUUAUUUUCUCCAAGGAGUUAUGUCGAUGCUGCUACUGCUUCUUCUUCUUCUUUUGACUUGCACCACUCCUUAUUUUCUCCAUCAUUAAAAUGUAAGAAGAAGCAAAGCAAGCUACAAGCUUCCACUAGGACCUUCUCUUCUUCCCAUCAUUGGAAACCUACACCAACUUGGAAAAAAAAAAAACCCACCAUUCCCCUGCCAUUCUUGCAAUUAUUCAUGGCCCAAUAAUGACUUUGAAGUUGGGACAAUUAACCACCAUAGUGAUCUCUUCAGCUGAAAUGGCCAAAAUGGUGCUUCAAAAGUAUGAUUAGUUCCUAUGAAAAUCUAAUAGAAAUAACUCUAAGAAAUAAAACAUAAUGAGUACUUAGUGCCUUGCUUAUUGGAAUAUUUUGAGGUAGAUUAUAGAUCACAAAAAAUAAGAGCUUUCCUGUAGCAAAAUGGUAUCAACAUAGCUUGGUUUAACCUAGUCUUGCAUCACCCAAAAGAAAAAUUAUAGAGUAACUAUAGAGUUAAGAUUCAAUCUAAAACGAAAGAAAACAAAUUAGUCAGCUCAAUACAAAUAGAAUAGCUUGAGUUUAUGCUACAGAAUAAUUGAGGUUACUACAUGUUGAGAUACUUGAAAUCUGUAACAUUUAAAUCAAAUAUCACAACUAAAUAAAAAAGCCAACAAGAAGAACAACACAGGAAGAAAAAAUUAUCUCAUCCUCUUGAAUAUUGAUUUAGGGUACUUCCCAGCUUUUGAACAUUCAGAGCAAUGACAAUGAAUGCUCUUUGAGGCAAUUACUCCUUUUAUGUAUGAGAAAUAAACAAAUGAACUAAGUUGAAUAUUAUACUGCUGCUGCUAGCGACUUGACAAGCUCUGCAGUGCCAAUCUAGUCGCAUUUUUAAUUUUAAUGAGUAAUGUAUUUAAAAAUAAUAUAACAUUAAAGAGUAAAAAUACUUUUUUCACAAAAUGCAUAUAUUAUUUAAAAUUAACAUAAGAAUUGGAAGUCACAUUUUAAUGAUGCAGAAUGCAAUGUACAUACAUAUACAGGCCAAGUGUGCAAUUAAAGUAAUACAUAAACAUUGAUUGUAGUAGGCUAGUGGUAGCAUCUUAGUGGCAGUAUUUUUUUCCUUUUAACAUGUUUAUACAUUUAUAUCUCAUAAAAACUAUACCUGAACUUGAAAAAGGUAAAUUCAAUAGAGUUAGGAGACAACAAAAAAAGGUUACAAAUGGGAAUACUUUUAUGUAUUGUAUAGAUUAUUAUUUUCAACAGGAAUAAAACAAAUGAACAAACUUUCUAAUGGCUUCCAAGCAGGUGCCAUGGUGAGGUAAAGUUGUUGCAUCUUAGUCUCCAUCUGUUUCAAUUCUCCAUAAUUGGUCUUAUUCAAUGUGUCGGCCAUUGCUAGGAAGGCAGUACAUACCAUUUGCGCAAGCAAUUGAUGGGGUCUUAAAGUUUUCAAAUAAUGAAUAACCUAAAAAUUUAAGGACAUAUAUAUAUAUAUAUAUAUAUAUAUAUUGCUGUUGGAAGCAGACUAGCAUUAUUAAGAUCCAAUCCUUAAAUCAAUGAUGGAGUAAAAUGAAAAAUGGUUACAGAUUUUCAAUGGUUGAACUGUCCAUCAUGUUCUAGUGAUCCAGGCAUAGUUUUGCUGUAUGUCUGAUCUCUACAAAGAAAUUAUUGUAAAUCCAGAUUAUUCUUCUGCGGAUUCCACAUUAACAAAAGCAAAAUAAACAACAAACUGGUAAAUUAAGCAAAACAAAUGUCAAAUAAAAUAAAAAUCCUACCAAACCACAGUGACCAGCAAAACAGAUGAAAAUUCAAUAAGUAAGUCGAAUCUCCAAAUUAAGAAGAAAUGAUUAUGCUAACUAGGUUUCAGUAAUAUUGAUGCGAUUGUUAUUAACAAACGCAAAUUUAGACUUUUGAUGAUGAAAACAGUAGAUACAAAAACUAAAAAAAUAAAUAUAAUAAUCAGAGAGAGACAGAGAAGAACUUACAAGAAGCUGCAAUGGUGAUGGGCUCAUAGCGAUGGGCAACGGGCAAAGAUGUUGCAACGACAAGAGAGAGAAAGAGAGCUUGGAGGAGGAGGAGCUCUGCUGUCCGGCGACUCUCUGCCCUUUCUCCGUGACUCUGUCUCUGGCCUUUACUCUCGAGCGUUGGAGAAGAAGAAGCAACCUCAAUCUGAGAUUUUGGGGUUAAUUAGUGUAUAUUUUGGUUUUCUGAAGGCUUGAGAUUAAUUUUUGGAGAAUUGAGUGAUACGAUGGAUGCGGGGUGAUUUUUUUUCGAUAAAAAUUGAGGUUAAUUUUGUCGAUUUUAGUUAAAAUAAAAAUCAUUAUUUUAGCUGUCUAUUUUAUAUAAUAAAUCUACACCGUUUAUCAGUUUUAGAAAGAGAUCUUCAUCGUCUAAAUUUAUCAACGAUAAAAGUUAUCAAUAUUAUAAUUAUUAAAAUAGACAACUGGUCCGUUGAUUUAAAAAAAAAAUUCACCAACUAUUUCGCGACAAUGUGACGAUAAUAUUAACAUGCUAGAAGGUUGCCAAAAUAAUAAAAGACAUGGUCCUCGAUUUUAGUAUUUUAUUUCUAAUAAUUUCUUUUUCUUUUUCUUUUUUAUUUUAGUAUUUUCACCAACUAUUUUAUCGAUGACAAGCCGUUGAAAAUUAUUGACGACAAGCCGUUGGAAAAUAUAGACGAAAAAUUUGAUCCUCAAUUUUUGACGUCGAUAAUUGCACUGUUUCUUCACUACAAGAAAAACACCCAUUCAGGUAUAUUUGAAAAGUGUAGCCAAAAGUGAAAAAAAUGAUACCUUAGACUACGGCUAUGCUUUUUGGGCUACGGUUACGCUUUUUGGGGUGAUUCCUAUUCGGCCGUUGCCUAUUCUCAAAGGCUACGCUUUUCUGCACCAAGGGCUAUGCUUUUGGCGUUUGGGAAUAUGGUGCGUUUUUCAAGUGAUACUGUCUAGAACCAAAGGCUACGCUUUUUAGCUUCCAUUUUUACUAGAAUAGGCUACGCUUUUCAGCGCUACUGCAUCACCGGUAAAGCGUAGCUAUAUUGUAUACCU